GUCAGUGACGCCCCCACCUUCAAAUUUAGUGUCCCUCCAGGCUCACUUGCAAUAGCCCCCACACAGCUUCCUUCUGGCUGCAGCACCUCUGAGGGCGAGGAGCGUGGCUGCUCUGAUGUGCUGUGACUGAGAUUUGUCAGUUGGUCUGUUUGCAACUUUUCAGAUAACUGAGAUACGGGGCAGGAUGAAAUGUAACCAACUGAGUGGAGCACAGAAACGUAAACUGGUGGAAGAAAAGAAACAAAAAACUAGUGAAGUUUUCCAAAAUCUUCCAAAGCUGACAUCAUUUUUCAAAGCGAAUCCAUCAGAAACAACAUCUUCUCUCAGUAGCACAGACAUCAUUUCAAAACCUGUAGGUGUUUCAGAGACUGACUCUUCUUCUGUUGAUGAAACAAACACCAUUCCACAACAUGUGGAUGUGUCAGAGACUGUAACUGAUCAUCCUGCUCCUGGUGGUAAAACAGACAUUGUUCUAGAAGGUGUGGAUGUGUCAGAGACUGAACCUGCUCAUGCUGUAAAUAAUAGGAGAAAAGAUCCUGGUAUGUGGGUUGAUUUCAGUACUGAUGAUGUAGCUUACUGGAUAGAUCGUGGACCAAAUGACUGUCAACACCACACUGGGCCAUUUGAGAAAUCACAUCGGAUUUUUACCAAUUGCAAACAAACAAGAUAUUGUCCACAAAAAAUAUUUUUCGUCAUGAAAGCGAACGGAGAGAAAUACACUCAAGAAUGGCUACUGUAUUCACCAUCAGCAGGGUCUGUGUACUGUUUUGUUUGAAAACUUUUUGCAUAUAAACCUUCAACAUCCCAGUUUGCUGCAGAUGGAUUUAGUGACUGGCGGAAUACUGUUUUAAUUGAACGACAAGAAAAUAGCACUACUCACAGAGACUCAAUGUUGACAUAUUUAAAUCAAAGACAAGGCUUCAUUUUUAGCAGGCCAUAUCUCAAAAUAUGGGAGUGCUGGCAAAGGUAACCCAUCAUACUUAUCCAAGACAAUAUGUGAUGAACUCAUUCGUCUAAUGAGUGACAAAGUUCAUUUCAGCUAUUGUGGAUGAAAUAAGUACUGCUGGAUACUUCAGUUUAUCUGUUGACUCUACACCUGAUCUUUCACAUAUUGAUCAAAUGAGUAUUGUACUAAGAUAUGUGUCUCCCACAGAUGGAAAACCAGUUGAACGAUUUAUAACAUUCCUCAAUUUGAAAAGCCACACUGGUGAAGAAAUGGCAAAUCAAGUACUGCAUUAUUUGUGCCAAGUUUGCAAAAUAGAUUUCUCAAAGUGCAGAGGUCAAUCUUAUGACAACGCUGCCAACAUGUCAGGGCGUUAUCAAGGAAUGCAGAAGAAGCUUUUAGAACAGAACAAAUAUGCUAUAUUCAUACCAUGUGCUGCACACGCUCUCAGUCUUGCUGGCCGCAGUGCUGUUGAUUGUUGUCCAGUGGCAGUAAGUUUUUUCUCAACAGUCCAGUUACUUUACGUUUUACUCUGCCUCAGCACACUGAUGGGCAGUUCUUAAAACAUAUUUUGGCAAUGAUCAUGUGUUGAAAUCUCUCUCUAAUACUCUCUGGGAAGCAUGCAGUGGCAACAAGUGCAAUUCUGGAGACCUUCUCAAAGAUUGUGGAUGCAUUAGAAUGUAUAGCUGAAGACCAAUCACAAAAGGGAGAAACUAUACGAGAGGCAGAAAACAUUGCAAACAAGAUGCAAGAACUAGAGUUUGUAUUCAUGUUGACCAUGUGGAAUGAAAUUUUACAACACUUUUACCACACAAGUCAAGCUCUCCAAGAAAAAGAAUUGGAUUUGAAAACAUGUGCAGACCUCUGUCAAUCAUUAGCAGACCACUUACACGCUUUGAGGAAUGAUUUUGAAAGAUUUGAAGACCUAUCAAAAGAUAUCUUGCCUGAUACUAACUACAAAGAAGCCCAGUCCCGCAAGCAACUCAGGAAGAAACAAGCAAAUGAUAGCAGUGCAACAGAAACAGCAUUGAAUCCUAGAGACAAAUUUUGCGUAUCUAUUUACUACGCUAUAAUUGAUACACUUGAAGCUCAUAUGAAGAAGAGAGGUGAAGUGUACAAAGAAGUAUCACGUAGAUUUUCUUUUCUAAAUGAUAUGGACUUAUCUGAGUAACAAUAUUCCCCAGGUUCCCAAAAGCUAGUUGACUCAUACCCUGUUGAGUUGAACAUGAAUCUCUUUGGAGAAGUACAGCAGUUCCGCUGUUAUAUGCGCUCAAAGUUUAAUGAAACAGGAAAAAUAAAAUUCAGUCACAUUGAUCUUCAUGACACAGUAUUGAAAGACGGAAUACAAUGUGUAUUUCCAAAUGUAGAGAUCGCACUAUGUAUUUUCCAACAUUGAUGAUUACUAACUGCUCCACAGAACACUCUUUUUCUCAGCUGAAAAGAAUAAAAAACCCUCAGAGAACAACAGUGUGUUAGGACAGACUUUGAUUCACUUUCCCUAUUGUGUAUGGAAGCAGACAUGCUUCAUUGAGUCAGCUUCGAUGAACUUAUCCAGAAUUUUGCAAUCAGAUUUUGCAAUCAGAAAAUCUAGAAAGAAACUAUUUUAAUUUCAGCAUACAUGUAAGUUUUUGUGUCAUUUCGAAAAAAUAAAAUUUUAUUUUAUGGUA